GGGUAGUUUUCAAGAAUUUUAAUUCACAAUUUCUAUAUAAAGCAUUUUUUUUCUUCUACCUUACUUACCUUUUAAUAUUAUUUUUGAUGACACUAGAAUACGCAUACUGUUUUGAGACGGUAGCAACGUCAAACCAUAUAUUUCUUAGUGUCUUUUGCACAGAUUUACUAUAUGCAAUUUGUGAAGGUAUUAUGUAAAGUACAUGGAUAAUAGGGUGUGUGUGUGUAUGUAUGUGUAUAUAUAAAAAACCUGUGACUUUUUUUUUUUUUUAGAUUUUUAUUUUCUAUUCUCCCCACUCACCUCCCCCCAAAUAAAAAGUCCAGAAAAAGAAUAUAAUUUGUUUAAUAAGAAUGCCUAAAGGAAUUGUGCCUUUUAUGUUCAUUUUCCCUAAACAUUUAAAUGAUGGAUAUGCAGGGAAUGCACUGUUGCCCAAUAAUGCAAACCUUCCAUUUUGAUUUCUGUUCUGAUAAAUUAUGCUGUGUAAAUAAGCAUAUAGUUUUCUCACUAAUUGAAAUGUGCUGUACUUUAGAAACCUUUUUAUUGUUUUCUGCUGGUAAGAUGCACUGUGUACAUUGCUUGUUUCUAAAUUGAAGGCUUGCCCAAUCAUACUGUAACCAAGCUUGAAGGUUCACUUAUCCAUCAGUAGUUGUAGCACCCUCAAUUCCAGCAGUUUCUCAUAUGUAAAAAAGAAAUUCUCUUCCUACUGGUUGGAAUAUUUUUUGAUUUAUGCAUCAUAUCAGGUGUGUAAGCAGAUAUUAUUUGCAGUAUGGGAAUAUAAUUCCCACUUACACAGUUCAUCACGUUUUUGGUAUUUUUUUUUAUGUGAUACUGGACACUUUUUAUAUAAAUAUAUGUAUGUAUUUUAUAAUUUAUUAGAAGCUCUGGGAAGUCAGGAUCUUUUAGUUGUAGGAAAUGCUUGUCAGUUAGAAUGUCUUAUUUCUACUUUUUCAUGUGGUCUGUGUAGUAUAAGAGUUUAACUUUUUUUUUUUUUUUUUACAUUUUUGGAG